UUGAGGUCAUUGCCUAGUGAUAGCUUCUUUCGCUUACACCCUUUGUAUUCUAUUAACAUGAAGAUGGUGUAAGCUAUGAUUAUGUGAUACCUCACCUCUGCAGUGUCAAAUACUUGCCAACACCUACUUGACACAGAUUUAAAGAGCCUCUUUAUUUAGCAGCAUGGAAAAGAUGACAGUAUUGUUUCUCCAACCCCCACCCCCA